rnacentral:rRNA from 1 species
UGGGGAAUAUUGCACAAUGGGCGCAGGCCUGAUGCAGCGACGCCGCGUGAGGGAUGAAGGCCUUCGGGUUGUAAACCUCUUUCGUCAGGGAACAAGGCACUGCUUUUUUGGUGGUGUUGAGGGUACCUGGAUAAGAAGCGCCGGCUAACUACGUGCCAGCAGCCGCGGUAAUACGUAGGGCGCAAGCGUUGUCCGGAAUUAUUGGGCGUAAAGAGCUCGUAGGCGGCUGGUCGCGUCUGUCGUGAAAACUUCCGGCUCAACCGGGGGCUUGCGGUGGGUACGGGCCGGCUAGAGUGCGGUAGGGGUAACUGGAACUCCUGGUGUAGCGGUGGAAUGCGCAGAUAUCAGGAAGAACACCGAUGGCGAAGGCAGGUUACUGGGCCGUUACUGACGCUGAGGAGCGAAAGCGUGGGGAGCGAACAGGAUUAGAUACCCUGGUAGUCCACGCUGUAAACGUUGGGCACUAGGUGUGAGGCUCCUUUCCGGGGGUUUUGCGCCGUAGCUAACGCAUUAAGUGCCCCGCCUGGGGAGUACGGCCGCAAGGCUA